rnacentral:rRNA from 1 species
CGGACGGGUGAGUAACGCGUGGGAACCUGCCCUAUACAGGGGGAUAACAGUUAGAAAUGACUGCUAAUACCGCAUAAGCGCACGGAGCCGCAUGGCGCUGAGUGAAAAACGAUAGUGGUAUAGGAGGGACCCGCGUCUGAUUAGGUAGUUGGUGAGGUAACGGCCCACCAAGGCGACGAUCAGUAGCCGGACUGAGAGGUUGGCCGGCCACAUUGGGACUGAGAUACGGCCCAGACUCCUACGGGAGGCAGCAG